rfam:Aspergillus lentulus DNA, contig: Alt08, strain: IFM 54703.
GCUCGCAUAGCUCAGUUGGUAGAGCGCAUGACUAGUAAUCAUGAGGUCAGCGGUUCAAAUCCGCUUGUGAGCA